GUCCUGUAGGGCAAUGGAAGCGCGUUGGACUUCUAAUCCAAAGGGCGUGGCUUUGAAUCCCACCGGGGAUG